rnacentral:lncRNA from 1 species
CGUCCAAAUCCUCAAUUUAACCCUUAGUGUGCUGAUACUUCCAAUUAGAGUACAGAAAACUACAAAAUGUGAUACACCCUAAAGACAGACGAUUUAGUGAGCAAUCUCUGCCUCUUGUAUCUUCAGAUCUCUGAUGCUCUUUAUUUAGUUGCUCAAAAAGAAAAGUGUGGUUGUUUGCUAAUGCACUGGAGUUAGCUGUAUUUGAAGUCCUUCCUCAGAGUAUACAAGUCUGCAGUAAUAGCAUAUGGGCUUUGGAACAUAAUUGAAGCAUCCAGGACUGCAUCUAUUCUCAUAAUCUGCAUCAGUACAUAAAUGUCAGGUCCUACCACCUACUGUCUAAGAAUACAAGUGUUCUAAAGCUUCCCCUAUUAUUUAAUAAAAUAGGUACAUAGAGGAGCAUUAGAGAGACCCUUUAUGUAACUUUAACAGAUUAUACUGGGCUGUUUGACGAGUGCUUAAGGGCACUUCCUAAGAUGUGCUAUGUACUCAACCUCAGAAAUUUAAAAAUAAUGAAAGAAACAACAUGAACUGUCACUUUAAUGCAUUGGAAGAUUUCUGACCUAGUUACCUAAGUUACUUCCUCUAAAGACUUUAAUGUCCUCUUUUUCUUUUUCUUUUUCUUUUUUUAAAUGCAGGUUGAUAUGAAGAUAUACAUUCUGAAAUACUGAAGCAGAAGAAGAGCUCCACCAGAAGCAUGAAUGAUACACAGUUUCAAUCUGGUUCAUUUCGAGCAGUUUGAGUGUGGUGCCGUGAGAGAUGCUGUUGUCCAUGACAGGAUGGGAUUAUUAUGAUCAAAUACUCUAUUUUGACUUCACCCAGUGGCCAAGAGCUUCAUAUGGUAGACAGCCAAGGACUGGACUUUUACUAAUAGUGUAACAGGUGGGCUGCCUGCUGUGGCUGAGGAACUCCACCUGCCAGAGAUACAGAGCGGCAAAGUGACUUAUCCAAGGUUAUCCCACAGGUCCAUGGCAGAUCCAAGGAUAGAAUCCAGGUGCCCUGAGUCUCAGUCCUGCAUCCUCUGUAUUGGACCACACUGUCUCUCCCCCUUUGUUGUUGGGGGAAAAUGUAGACAGAUAAAAUAAUGAUAAAUGUCAAAACAAAGAUAUCAAGAAAACUGCUUUGUUAGGUAAAAACAUAUAGCUCACUUUGUUAAAGGUACCGAGAUGUGAUUUGAACAAAUUAAGCUAUUCUAAUGUCUGUAAAUGUUUUAAAUAAUGUAUCGUUUACCCGUGGAACUCAUUGCCACGAGGUGUCAUUGAGGCCAGGAGCUUAGUGGUAUUCAAUAACAGGAUUAGGCAAAUAUAUCGAUAACAGGAAAAUGCACAGUUACAUUAGAAAAGAGCGUUGUAAAAUUGAGGAUAUAAAUCUUCAUGUUUCAGGGGACAGACCAAAUACUAAGUACAUGUGGUUAAGAAGAAAAGUUAUCUGAAAGGCAAGUUUUUUUCCAUAAUUGAGCAUUCCUCUGAAGCAUCUGGUACUGGUCACUGUCACAGACAGAAUACUGCACUGGAUGGCCACUGGGUCUGCUCCCAUGUGGCACUUCUUAUGUUCUUGUGCAUAGCACUGAAACGUUUCUAUGUAGCAGAAACCUCCAAACAUCACAGAUAGCACAUACCCUAAAACAUCUGCUUGGUGAUGUUUCAGGGGUGCUUUGAAAUGCUAUAAGAGUUCUGCCCCCAUUAAAAUGAUCCAGUUUUUGUGAGCUUAUGCUUUCCCAUAUAGCUGGCAUUUUUCAAGAUUGAAUUAUUUAGCAUACCAUCAGCAGUCUGAAUUAAUUCCUAAAGAUACAGGCCCAUUGCUUUCAUCCUGAAAACUGAACUGAAGAAACAGCAUGUCAGAACAUAUGGCCCUACAGAAUUUGAAGGUCGUAUUAUUUAUGAAGAUAGCCACAA